rnacentral:rRNA from 1 species
UACGGAGGGUGCAAGCGUUGUCCGGAUUUAUUGGGUUUAAAGGGUGCGUAGGCGGCCCGGUAAGUCAGUGGUGAAAGCCUCCAGCUCAACUGGAGAACUGCCAUUGAUACUGCCGGGCUUGAGUACAGACGAGGUUGGCGGAAUUGAUUGUGUAGCGGUGAAAUGCAUAGAUACAAUCAAGAACUCCGAUUGCGUAGGCAGCUAACUAGGCUGUAACUGACGCUGAGACGCGAAAGCGUGGGGAGCAAACAGG